AUUGAACGCUGGCGGCAGGCCUAACACAUGCAAGUCGAACGAGUGGCGGACGGGUGAGUAAUGUCUGGGAAACUGCCUGAUGGAGGGGGAUAACUACUGGACACGGUAGCUAAUACCGCAUCCAUCGGAUGUGCCCAGAUUGGAUUAGCUAGUAGGUGGGGUAACGGCUCACCUAGGCGACGAUCCCUAGCUGGUCUGAGAGGAGGACCAGCCACACUGGAACUUAGACAGGGUCCAGACUCGUACGGGAGGCAGCAGUGAGAAAUAUUGCACAAUGGGCGCAAGCCUGGUGCAGCCAUGCCGCGUGUAUGAAGAAGGCCUUCGGGUUGUAAAGUACUUUCAGCGGGGAGGCGUUACCCGCAGAAGAAGCACCGGCUAACUCCGUGCCAGCAGCCGCGGUAAUUC
rnacentral:rRNA from 1 species